rnacentral:lncRNA from 1 species
GCAAAUGCUGUAAUGUCUCGUCUUCUUUACUUAUGAUAGUUAAUUUUUGGAACGUCUAUAAUAUCAAGGGUUUUACUAGAAGUGUCAAAUGCUCUUAAUGCGCUUAAUGUAUUUUUGUCCAUCUGAUGAGUUAAGCCUUUUCAAUUGAUUUUUAUAGUUCGUUCUUAUGUUGUACUGUCAGUGGGAAAGCCAGUGACAUUGAAGAGCUACUUCCGGUAGUCCCGCGGGAAAGGGGACAUAAUCUUAAAAUUUUGAGGUGGCGCUGUAACCAGCGUGUAAACAAAAACGUAGCCUGUGCUUCAGACAAUAAAUCUAUUAAAACAACUUAUCAUCCAUCAGUAUUUGAGUUUAAUUUUUCAUUAGAAUAGAUUUUGUCACACGACUGCCAAAUUCGGUAUUCAAAUAAGUGCUCCGUUACUGAAAUAUGAUAAUCCAAAAGACUACCUCCGCUGAUUUCCAAAAAACCGCGGGUAAUCCCCACGACUACAAACAACUGACACAAAUGCAUCCUAAAGCUUUUCAUUGGUCGAGAUAUAAAUAAAUGUGACCUAGAAACAUAUGGGCACAUGACUAUGUACAGGAUUCCCCGUCACUCUGAGUCUUGUUUACAUAAUAAAUACUUCAACCGGAGGUCAAAAUUCAACAUUUUUCAGACGUUUUGGGAGUUAUUUCGGUGCAAAAUCAAGCAAAUUAUGUCAGAUUUUACAGAUUUUAAGCACAAAAUUGAUUGAGACAACGAAGGGUGAUGAUGUUUUCAGGAUUUUAAAUAUAUUUUUCUUAAAACGUUGAGUGGUUGAAGGCUUUACAACGUCAUUUGUUGAUGUUUACAAUUUGCUCAAACUCCUCGUAUCACAUUUUCUGUAGUUAUUUAAUUAUGCUGCUGAUGUAUAACAGAUUUAUGGGCGAGAUUUAUGUAUUACAUUGAAACUGAUUUAAUCUAUGAACGAAUUUGUCCAUAUAAAUAACUUCCAUUGUCUGGAAGUAGACCUACCCCCUUUUUUCAACAAAAAAAAUUUCAGUUAGUCAAAAGUUGUUGUCUGAAUAAGCAUGCAAAAGUGCAAAGUGUAAGCACUCAGCUAGUCUUUGUUUUAAGCCAAUUUUUAGGGUAAUGGUUACAGUCAUUCUUUGAUUCUGUAAAUUAUUAUAAAUCUGAAAUGUUUCAACUUGUCAAUUUUAAAAAGUACAUGUACCAAUCAACAAGAAUUGCCUGCCUAAACACUCACACAUGUUUAUAAAUGUCUGUCCUUAUUAUGCUUAUCAAGCAACCUGAUGUACACUGUGACUAACUAUUCAUGUUUGAGUGUUUCUGGGCCCUGGGGCAUAUUUAACUCUUGAGAACUUGAGAUUAACAUUCAAUAGGAAUGCCCAAUGCCUAGUACAUCAAAUUCUUAAUACAUGUUAGAGCUACAUGUAUAUGACCAUUUAAAGCAUUAACAAAAUGCUAUAUCACUUCCA